rnacentral:rRNA from 1 species
ACAUCCAGAGAACUUAGCAGAGAUGCUUUGGUGCCUUCGGGAACUCUGAGACAGGUGCUGCAUGGCUGUCGUUAGCUCGUGUUGUGAAAUGUUGGGUUAAGUCCCGCAACGAGCGCAACCCUUAUCCUUUGUUGCCAGCGGCUCGGCCGGGAACUCAAAGGAGACUGCCGGUGAUAAACCGGAGGAAGGUGGGGAUGACGUCAAGUCAUCAUGGCCCUUACGGCCAGGGCUACACACGUGCUACAAUGGCGCAUACAAAGAGAAGCGACCUCGCGAGAGCAAGCGGACCUCAUAAAGUGCGUCGUAGUCCGGAUUGGAGUCUGCAACUCGACUCCAUGAAGUCGGAAUCGCUAGUAAUCGUAGAUCAGAAUGCUACGGUGAAUACGUUCCCGGGCCUUGUACACACCGCCCGUCACACCAUGGGAGUGGGUUGCAAAAGAAGUAGGUAGCUUAACCUUCGGGAGGGCGCUUACCACUUUGUGAUUCAUGACUGGGGUGAAGUCGUAACAAGGUAAGCGUAGCGAG